rnacentral:rRNA from 1 species
UACGUAGGGGGCAAGCGUUGUCCGGAUUUAUUGGGCGUAAAGAGCGUGUAGGCGGCUAUACAGGUCCGCUGUGAAAACUCGAGGCUCAACCUCGAGACGUCGGUGGUAACCGUAUGGCUAGAGUCCGGAAGAGGAGAGUGGAAUUCCUGGUGUAGCGGUGAAAUGCGCAGAUAUCAGGAAGAACACCCGUGGCGAAGGCGGCUCUCUGGGACGGUACUGACGCUGAGACGCGAAAGCGUGGGGAGCAAACGGG